CUUUCCCUCUUUCUUCCUUCUUAACACAUGCAAGUCGAGCGAGCGGCGGACGGGUGAGUAAUGUCUGGGAAACUGCCUGAUGGAGGGGGAUAACUACUGGAAACGGUAGCUAAUACCGCAUACCAUCAGAUGUGCCCAGAUGGGAUUAGCGAGUAGGUGGGGUCCUGGCUCCCCUAGGCGACGAUCCCUAGCUGGUCUGAGAGGAUGACCAGCCACACUGGAACUGGGACACGGGCCAGACUCCUACGGGAGGCAGCAGUGGGGAAUAUUGAACAAUGGGCGCAAGCCUGAUGCAGCCAUGCCGCGUGUGUGAAGAAGGCCUUCGGGGUGUAAAGCACUUUCAGCGAGGAGGCGUUACUCGCAGAAGAAGCACCGGCUAACUCCGUGAAAGAAGCAGAGGGAAUAC
rnacentral:rRNA from 1 species